AUACGGAGGGUGCAAGCGUUAAUCGGAAUUACUGGGCGUAAAGCGUGCGUAGGUGGUUUGUUGAGUUAGAUGUGAAAGCCCCGGGCUCAACCUGGGAACUGCAUUUGAAACUGGCAUACUAGAGUAUAGGAGAGGAAAGUGGAAUUUCAGGUGUAGCGGUGAAAUGCGUAGAUAUCUGAAGGAACAUCAAUGGCGAAGGCAGCUUUCUGGACUAAUACUGACACUGAGGUACGAAAGCGUGGGUAGCAAACAGGAUUAGAAACCCUUGUAGUCC
rnacentral:rRNA from 1 species